GAGGUAACGGCUCACCAAGGCGACGAUGCGUAGCCGACCUGAGAGGGUGAUCGGCCACACUGGGACUGAGACACGGCCCAGACUCCUACGGGAGGCAGCAGUAGGGAAUCUUCCGCAAUGGGCGAAAGCCUGACGGAGCAAUGCCGCGUGAGUGAUGAAGGUUUUCGGAUCGUAAAGCUCUGUUGCCAGGGAAGAACGCUUGGGAGAGUAACUGCUCUCAAGGUGACGGUACCUGAGAAGAAAGCCCCGGCUAACUACGUGCCAGCAGCCGCGGUAAUACGUAGGGGGCAAGCGUUGUCCGGAAUUAUUGGGCGUAAAGCGCGCGCAGGCGGUCAUUUAAGUCUGGUGUUUAAUCCCGGGGCUCAACCCCGGAUCGCACUGGAAACUGGGUGACUUGAGUGCAGAAGAGGAGAGUGGAAUUCCACGUGUAGCGGUGAAAUGCGUAGAUAUGUGGAGGAACACCAGUGGCGAAGGCGACUCUCUGGGCUGUAACUG
rnacentral:rRNA from 1 species